rnacentral:rRNA from 1 species
AUUGAACGCUGGCGGCAGGCCUAACACAUGCAAGUCGAGCGGAUGAAGGGAGCUUGCUCCUGGAUUCAGCGGCGGACGGGUGAGUAAUGCCUAGGAAUCUGCCUGGUAGUGGGGGAUAACGUCCGGAAACGGGCGCUAAUACCGCAUACGUCCUGAGGGAGAAAGUGGGGGAUCUUCGGACCUCACGCUAUCAGAUGAGCCUAGGUCGGAUUAGCUAGUUGGUGGGGUAAAGGCCUACCAAGGCGACGAUCCGUAACUGGUCUGAGAGGAUGAACAGUCACACUGGAACAGAGACACGGUCCAGACUCCUACAGGAGGAAACAGUGCCGAAUAUUGGGCGAUGGGGGAAGGCGGGAUCCAGCAAAGCCGGAUGUAGGCAGAAGGACUUCGGAUUGUAGAGCGCUUUAAGUUGGGAGGAAGGGCAGUACGUUAAUACCUUGCUAUUUUGACGGUACCGGCAGAAUAAGCACCGGCUAACUUCGUG